rnacentral:tRNA from 1 species
GCGCCCAUAGCUCAAUUGGAUAGAGCAUCAGUCUACGGAACUGAGGGUUGGUGGUUCGACUCCACCUGGGCGCACCA